GAUUGCCAGUGACAAUUUGGGCAUGAAGAUAAAAGAACAAAACCGACUCCUAACAAUUGUUACUACAGAGAAAGAUCAACUACAGGAAAUGAAAGCAGAAUUAGAAAAUGAACUUCGAAUACUGAAAGAAGAGCUAAAAGCAACAAAAGUUGAAAAUGAAGACAUGAAGGCAUUGAAGAGUCGC